GAUGAACGCUGGCGGCGUGCCUAAUACAUGCAAGUCGAACGAAAGGACGCGACGCUUGCUUUUCUGUUGUUAGCGGAGCACGGGUGAGUAACACGUGGAUCACCUCCCUAUCAGACUGGUAUCACUUCGAGAAUCCGGCGCUAAUCCCGGAUAAUAUUUUGAACCGCAUGGUUCAAAAGUGAAAGACGGUCUUGCUGUAACUUAUAGAUGGAUCCGGGCUGCUUUAGGUGGUUGGUAAGGUAACGGCUUACCAAGGCAACUAUGCCUAGACGACCUGCCAGGGUGAUCGGCCACCCUGGAACGUAGACGGGGUCCAGGCGCCUACGGGAGGGAGCAGUAGGGUAUCGUCCGCAGUAGUGGAGAGCCUUGCGGAGCAACGGCGCGUGAGUGAUGAAGGUCUUGGGUGCGUAAAACUCUGUUAUUAGGUAAGAACAUAUGUGUAAGGAACUGUGGACAGCGUGACGGUACCUAGUCAGAAAGCCACGGCUAACUACGUG
rnacentral:rRNA from 1 species